GGCAGGUGAGGAAGGUCAGAAGGAGAACCCAACAUAUACAAGUAUCCUAUAAUUGCCUCUCGUUACCUGGAGCAGGAGUACAUAAUUCUGGCUGCCCAUGAGACUUACCCAGAACCUUUACAAAGACUGGUGACAGGACCUCUCCUGAUAUUCUGAUUUCAUUGAACUGGGGUGUCGUUCAGGCUUCAAAGUUUUUUGGGUUUUUUUUGUUGUUGUUGUUAAGUUGCUUUAGGUGGUUCUAAUGAACAACUGUGGUUAAGAGCUACAGACCCAUGGAAAAAUACCAAAUGCCUUUAGCUAAAUAUGUAAGGCCGUCAUAAUUAUGUUAAUUUAUCAGAUACCAUGUUUUGGGAGCAGGAAAAUAAUAAAA